rnacentral:rRNA from 1 species
UACGUAGGGGGCGAGCGUUGUCCGGAAUCAUUGGGCGUAAAGCGCGUGUAGGCGGCCCGGUAAGUCAGAGGUGAAAUCCCGGAGCUCAACUCCGGAAUUGCCUCCGAUACUGCCGUGCUUGAGGACUGGAGAGGAGAUUGGAAUUCACAGUGGAGCGGUGAAAUGCGUAGAUAUUGUGAGGAACACUAGUGGCGAAGGCGAAUCUCUGGACAGUUCCUGACGCUGAGGCGCGAAGGCCAGGGGAGCAAACGGG